GACGAACGCUGGCGGCGUGCCUAAUACAUGCAAGUAGAACGCUGAAGGAGGACCUUGCUUCUCUGGAUGAGUUGCGAACGGGUGAGUAACGCGUAGGUAACCUGCCUGUUAGCGGGGGAUAACUAUUGGAAACGAUAGCUAAUACCGCAUAAUAGUAGAUGUUGCAUGACAUUUGCUUAAAAGGUGCAAUUGCAUCGCUACCAGAUGCACCUGCGUUGUAUUAGCUAGUUGGUGGGGUAACGGCUCACCAAGGCGGGGAUACAUCGCCGACAUGAGAGGGGGGGUGGCCACACUGGGAGGGAGACACGCCCCAGAGGCCUACGGGAGGGAGCAGGAGGGAAACGGGGGGAAGGGGUGGAAGUCAGAGCGAGCAACGCCGCGUGAGUGAAGAAGGUUUUCGGAUGGUAAAGCACUGUUGUAAGAGAAGAGAGAGUGUGAGCGUGGAAAGAUCACACUGUGACGGUAACUUACAAGAAAGGAACGGCUAACUACGUG
rnacentral:rRNA from 1 species